UACAGAGGGUGCAAGCGUUGUUCGGAAUUAUUGGGCGUAAAGGGCGCGUAGGCGGUGCUGUAAGUCUGUGGUGAAAUCUCUGGGCUCAACUCAGAGUCUGCCAUAGAAACUGCAGUGCUGGAGUGUGGGAGAGGUGAGUGGAAUUCCCGGUGUAGCGGUGAAAUGCGUAGAUAGUCGGGAGGAACACCUGUGGCGAAAGCGGCUCACUGGACCACAACUGACGCUGAGGCGCGAAAGCUAGGGGAGCAAACAGG
rnacentral:rRNA from 1 species